UCCAUUAAUGCUUUUGAUGCUCUAGUGGACAUAAAUCACAAUUUUUUUUGUUAGGCCAUGGUAAUAGAACUAGAAUUCUAAAAACUAUAUGAUAUAUCACAAAAACCGUUGUGUUUUUAACUUCAACUUAAAUUCAUAUCUAGCAAAAUCGAAGUGCUGCUAUCACAUUCAGUCGGCAAGUUUUUCAUGGAAGUAAAAAAGCGUCAUUGGAUGCAAGUCCUGUUCCAGGUUCUAAGAUUUCCAAAAAAAGGUCCAAAAGCGUCCAAUUACCAACACUGGCAAAUGAAAACUCCAAAUUGUUUGUCAUGUGCUGUGAUCCCAACUAUUCUGCAUAAUUAUACGAUGGCAUUUUUAAGGUUCUAUGCAUACUUGCAAGUUCAUUAUGGACACAAAUAUGUUUUGGAAAACAAACAUAGAAAUAUGUGUGUGCACGCACACAUACAAGCUUACAAACAAACGAACAAUAGAAAGUACCAUUUUUUCGUUGCGCAAAUAGGC
rnacentral:misc_RNA from 1 species